GUAUACUCCUAUCUACAGCUCCUUAGUCACGGUUGUAAAGGUUCUAAGGUUCUAAACGCACUUUUUUCGGACACGGGCGUCUUGCCGUAGAGCCAUCCGGGCGGUGGUGUCAGAUUUGGUGAAAGGGCGGUGAAAGGGCUCGCCGCUCUCGGCCUCACGGAGGUGGGCAACGACUGACGCCCUGGGCGAAUGUGCGUCCUGGGCCGACUUCUAAGGGAACUGUGCCAACAUAUGCCUAAAAGCGUCUGAGGAAAACCCAGAAAAACUCCAGACAGUACAGUAUAGCCGGCAUCGGGAUUCGAACCUGGGUACCUCCCAGUCUCAACGUGGCAUGGCCAGCACGCUAACCACUGAACCCUUUUGUGGAAUUGUAGCACUAAAAUCAGACGCCAACGUGGAGCUACACAUAACGUCGUCUGUUCUACGUCGGAGGGAAGCGGAGAGAAACAGUGACGAACUUAGGCGAGAUGGUAAGCUUUGCCCUAACAUGUUGGACUGAAAUCGUAAUUUGUUUUGACGGGUUUUGUUUUCUAUGAUCUGGUGCAAUUCACUUUAUUUCUACAGUCCACGACUGCGACGACAUCCACCCAGCGUAGCCAUUUUGUACACAAAGCCCGCGGGCACGUUUCUUUGUUUCUGCACUUGCUUUCUGCGAUAAAGCCUAAAAUAUGAAGAUAAGAUAUGGCUUCACGAUGAACAACAGUGGCGGACCGACCGACCGCGGGGACGAGCUCGUGAGCGCAUUGAUGGGCUACGUACGCGUCGGAUUCGUCUAUACAAAAGGUGUCACCCCAAACAGCACAAUGUACUGAAAGUGGGGUGCAAUGGGCGUGGCCGGCAUGUGUCUUACCAUUGUUGUUUAGUUGCAUGAGUAUGUUCAAGGCCUUCCACUUACCCGUCCUUCCCUAUCGCACUCGACUUUCAGUACAUUGUGCUGGUUGGGACGGCCAAAUAGUUUCAAUCUAUAUAAAGAAAGAAAGAAAGAAAAAACAGUGCAAGGGAGAACGAUAGAAAGUGCUGUGUUUGACUCGUUUUAUAUUUCUUUCGCUGUCGCCGAGCACUGGUGGUCUUUUAUCGUUUUCAAAAUGAAUCACAAACCCGCCCGAUUUUAAUUUUAUUGAAGUUAAAAUCGCCGUUUAGAGCGGACACAGUCGGCGGUUUAGUCUGCUAGCGUUCAUAACCCCUUUAAGGACUCCGCGUUACUCAGAGGCUGUCGUCUGCAACAUUUAUUUUAGUUACAUUGUCAAAAUGGGCAAGUGUUGUAACGGCGCUUCAGAUCGUUCCACUUGAAACUCGUGAGGCCUUUCUUAUCUCGUAGCUACGCCGUCCUAUGCCGAUGGCGGCAUGAGAGCAGAUAUCAAGGCAUGGGCUAAUCAGUGGCAGCCUUGUGCAAUGUUUCCCCAUAAGCACCGUAUGCGUUCCGUGCGACGGGUUGGAAUGUACCUUGCAGUCUUUCGCCUGGAAUGAAGAGCUGAGUGGAACCAUCUUCCAGGAAACAUAUUCCGUGAAGAUGGCAUCGCAACCGCAGCCAACAACAGAGCUCCCACGAGAGUUGCUUGACCAGAUCCGCAUUGCGAGUGCACUUCAAAUUUUUAACUUGGAACAUAUCCA